CCACCUUCAGGUCCCUGUUCAGGUGCCAGCUGCAGUGACUUGCACCUGCAGAGGGUUUACACGGGGAGAGGUAGAGUGGGAU
rnacentral:miRNA from 1 species